UCAUGCCUGUAAUCCCAACACUUCGGGAGGCCGAGGCGGGCGGAUCACGAGGUCAGGAAAUCAGACCAUCCUGGCUAACACGAUGAAACCCCGUCUCUACUAAAAAUACAAAAAAGUAGCCAGGUGUGGUGGCGGGUGCCUAUAGUCUACUUGGGAGGCUGAGGCAGGAGAAUGGCGUGAACCCGGGAGGCGGAGCUUGCAGUGAGCAGAGAUCCUGCACUCCAGCCUGGAUGACAGAGCGAGACUCUGUCUCAAAAAAAAAAAAAAAAAAAAAAAAAAAAAACUUGGUGAGCAUCUGCUAUGAACAGUUUAUUAAGCACGGAGAAAGCCUCUGAAUGAGAGAAACACUAUACCUACCCACCCUCACUACACUCACAUGUUAAUAGGUACAUAGGGUAAUAUAUGAGCAAUUCUAAUAAAAUAAUGCUCAUAUCCAGCCUAAUUUAUUAUUAUGCACCCUAACAAUGCCUUAGAAAAAAAUGGCCCAAAAUCCAUCAUAAUUAAGAUGCUGUUUCUGAGCACCUCAAUAUGAUUUUGCCAUUUCUGAGUAGUCUUAGUGAAUGAAGACCAUUCAGAUUGAUUAUCACAAGAUCAAUUCAGAGUAAACCUAUUUAAAUAUAAGCUUUUUAGAUUUUGAAUUUUCUAUAUAGCUUUGAAUUUUAUCCAAGAGGUAGCUUUAAAGAAUGCAAACACCUAAAAUACUUUAUAAUUCAGUAAAGAUGAUCCAUCAUAAAUUAAGAUUUGUUUUUAGAUACUUUGGUAUUAUUGGUAUUCUGUUUUGCUUUGUGUGUGUACAUGUGCACAUGUAUUUAAACACUUUUGAGAUGAGUAUCACUCUGUCGCCCAGGCUGGAGUGCAGUGGCGCAAUCUCGGCUCACUGCAACCUCCGCCUCCCAGGUUCAAGCAACUCUCCUGCCU
rnacentral:lncRNA from 1 species